rnacentral:rRNA from 1 species
UGCCAGCCGCCGCGGUAAUACGGAGGGUGCAAGCGUUGUCCGGAAUCAUUGGGUGUAAAGGGUGCGUAGGCGGAUGUCUAAGUCUGAGGUGAAAUCUUGCCGCUUAACGGUAAAAUGGCCUUGGAUACUGGAUAUCUUGAGUGUAGAAGAGGCAGGUGGAAUUCGUAGUGUAGCGGUGAAAUGCAUAGAUAUUACGAAGAACAUCAGUGGCGAAGGCGGCCUGCUGGUCUACAACUGACGCUGAGGCACGAAAGCGUGGGGAGCGAACAGGAUUAGAUA